GCUUUCGAUACGGGUUGACUUGAGGAAGGUAGGGGAGAAUGGAAUUCCUGGUGGAGCGGUGGAAUGCGCAGAUAUCAGGAGGAACACCAGUGGCGAAGGCGGUUCUCUGGGCCUUUCCUGACGCUGAGGAGCGAAAGCGUGGGGAGCGAACAGGCUUAGAUACCCUGGUAGUCCACGCUGUAAACGGUGGGUACUAGGUGUGGGGUCCAUUCCACGGGUUCCGUGCCGUAGCUAACGCUUUAAGUACCCCGCCUGGGGAGUACGGCCGCAAGGCUAAAACUCAAAGGAAUUGACGGGGCCCCGCACAAGCGGCGGAGCAUGCGGAUUAAUUCGAUGCAACGCGUAGAACCUUACCUGGGUUUGACAUGGAUCGGGAGUGCUCAGAGAUGGGUGUGCCUCUUUUGGGGUCGGUUCACAGGUGGUGCAUGGCUGUCGUCAGCUCGUGUCGUGAGAUGUUGGGUUAAGUCCCGCAACGAGCGCAACCCUUGUUCACUGUUGCCAGCACGUUAUGGUGGGGACUCAGUGGAGACCGCCGGGGUCAACUCGGAGGGAGGUGGGGAUGACGUCAAGUCAUCAUGCCCCUUAUGUCCAGGGCUUCACGCAUGCUACAAUGGCUGGUACAGAGAGUGGCGAGCCUGUGAGGGUGAGCGAAUCUCGGAAAGCCGGUCUCAGUUCGGAUUGGGGUCUGCAACUCGACCUCAUGAAGUCGGAGUCGCUAGUAAUCGCAGAUCAGCAACGCUGCGGUGAGUACGUUCCCGGGGCUUGCACUCACCGCCCGUC
rnacentral:rRNA from 1 species